AAAGUAAGGGCGUAUGGGGAAUGCCUAGGCUCUCAGAGGCGAAGAAGGACGUGAUAAGCUGCGAUAAGUUGCGGGGAUUGGCACAUACAAAUUGAUCCGCAAAUUUCCGAAUGGGGCAACCCACUAUGUUGAAGACAUAGUACCUUUAAUUAGGAGCAAACCCGGGGAACUGAAACAUCUAAGUACCCGGAGGAGGAGAAAACAAAAGUGAUUCCGAUAGUAGCGGCGAGCGAAAUUGGAUUAGUCCAAACCGUACAUGUUUCGGCAUGUGCGGGGUUGUAGGACCACGAUAUUCGAAAUGUAAUGAACUAGAACGCUUUGGAAAUAGCGACCAUAGAGGGUGAUAGUCCCGUAUGGGUAAGAAAUGUUAUUGGUAGUGGUAUCCUGAGUAGGGCGGGGCACGUGAAACCCUGUCUGAAUCAAGCGGGACCAUCCGCUAAGGCUAAAUACUCCUGAGAGACCGAUAGUGAACUAGUACCGUGAGGGAAAGGUGAAAAGAACCCUGAAUAAGGGAGUGAAAUAGAUCCUGAAACCAUACGCUUACAAGCGGUCGGAGCUGACUUGAUCAGUGACGGCGUGCCUUUUGCAUAAUGAGCCUACGAGUUACUGUUGUUAGCAAGGUUAAGUACUUCAGGUACGGAUCCGUAGCGAAAGCGAGUCUGAAUAGGGCGCUAUAGUUAGUUUGAGUAGACGCGAAACCGUGUGAUCUACCCAUGGGCAGGGUGAAGCUGUAGUAACAUACAGUGGAGGCCCGAACCGAUAUACGUUGAAAAGUGUUCGGAUGACCUGUGGGUAGGGGUGAAAGGCCAAUCAAACUCGGAAAUAGCUCGUACUCCCCGAAAUGCAUUUAGGUGCAGCGUUGUGUUAGUUUUAUAGAGGUAGAGCUACUGAUUGGAUGCGGGGGCUUCACCGCCUACCAAUUCCUGACAAACUCCGAAUGCUAUAAAAUGUUAAUCAGCAGUGAGGGCAUGGGUGCUAAGGUCCAUGUCCGAGAGGGAAAGAACCCAGA
rnacentral:rRNA from 1 species